GGGCAGGUAGCUCAGUUGGUAGAGCAAAGGACUGAAAAUCCUUGUGUCGGCGGUUCAAUUCCGUCCCUGCCCA
rnacentral:tRNA from 1 species